rnacentral:rRNA from 1 species
CCUACGGGUGGCUGCAGUGGGGAAUAUUGGACAAUGGGGGCAACCCUGAUCCAGCCAUGCCGCGUGCGUGAAGAAGGCCCUCGGGUUGUAAAGCACUUUCAGUGAGGAAGAACGCCUGGUGGUUAAUACCCAUCAGGAAAGACAUCACUCACAGAAGAAGCACCGGCUAACUCCGUGCCAGCAGCCGCGGUAAUACGGAGGGUGCGAGCGUUAAUCGGAAUUACUGGGCGUAAAGCGCGCGUAGGUGGCUUGAUAAGCCGGUUGUGAAAGCCCCGGGCUCAACCUGGGAACGGCAUCCGGAACUGUCAAGCUAGAGUGCAGGAGAGGAAGGUAGAAUUCCCGGUGUAGCGGUGAAAUGCGUAGAGAUCGGGAGGAAUACCAGUGGCGAAGGCGGCCUUCUGGACUGACACUGACACUGAGGUGCGAAAGCGUGGGUAGCAAACAGGAUUAGAUACCCCUGUAGUC